UACGUAGGAGACAAACGUUAUCCGGAGUUACUGGGCGUAAAGGGCGUGUAGGUGGUUUCGUAAGUCUGGCGUGAAAUUUCUCGGCUUAACCGAGGCAGGUCGUCGGAUACUGCGGAACUUGAGGACGGUAGAGGCGUGUGGAAUUCCGGGUGUAGUGGUGAAAUGCGUAGAGAUCCGGAGGAACACCAGUGGCGAAGGCGACACGCUGGGCCGUACCUGACACUGAUGCGCGACAGCAUGGGGAGCAAACAGG
rnacentral:rRNA from 1 species